CGUGGAAUCCGUUGAUGACAACUUUCUGGUCCAGGUAGUGGACAGACCAACCAGAGGUGAAGCGUUGCUGGACCUGCUGCUCACCAAUGCAGAAGAGAUCAUCAAAGAUGUCAAUGUUGAAGGCAGCCUGGGCUGCAGCAACCAUGCCCUGGUUGAGUUCGUGAUCUUGAGGGAUGUGGGCCUGACAAAGGGUGGGGUCAGGACCCUGAACUUUGGAAGAGUGAACUUUAAGCUGUUCAAUGGAUUGUUGGCCAAGAUCCCCUAGGAUGCUGUCCUUAAAGAUAAAGAUGUUGAGGAGAGCUGGCCACUCUUCAAGGAUGCCCUCCUGAAAGCACGAGAGGUCUCCAUCCCUCUGAAUAGGAAAGUGGGCAGACGAGAUAGGAAACCGGCAUGGCUCGGCAACGACAUGCUGGGCACACUGAGGGCAAAGAAAGGAAUGAUGACAUCAACUGAACAAAAUAUGAACUGAUUGAGGGCUUGUGACUUUUAAGGAUUUAUUUCAAAGGGAAACAGAACAAAUGGAUCACUCAGAGGUGAAUCAUAGAAUCAUCUAGUUUGGAAAAGAUCUUCAAGAUAAUCAGGUCCAAACAUCCACAUAAAGCAUCAAGUCCUGCCUUUUCCUAAAUGCCACAUCCACAUAUCUGUUAAAUACCUCCAGGGCAAAAAAACCUGUAAUUGCAAAAAUCCUAUGAUGCUUCACCAAAUUAACUUCCUUUAAUCCUUAGCUUCCAAAGUGUCAAGCAAUAUGUAGGAAAAUCACAGCAGAAAAGGGGAAACACUGAUGGUUGAUUAAGUCAUCUGUAGAGACUUCACACUCAGAAGUCCCCCAGCUGAGUUAUGCCCCUUCGUCACGGAAUUCACACCCCACCCCCUCCACUGACGCAAACUUCAGAGAGCAGCUCCAUGGAGGAUAACCUAAGUGCUGCCUGCAGAGCUAAGUGUGCUGUCCUUGCUUGUUAUUGUAGCAUUGAUAUACAUAUCUUCCUUUCCUCAUUUGUUAUAUCCUAAUGUCAUUAGGACAAGCCUGCAGCAAUUUUAAACGCUGGCUGCACAGCCUCUUUGACGUCAUUACAGAAAGGUCUCGAGUGCAGACCCUGCAUAUACUGUCUGUGAUAUAGUGUAUAAAAAUCCAUGUCAGUGCUGGCUCUCGGGGAGCACUGGAAAUGAUUCAGCUGUCUGGAAUGGGCAGAUGGCUGCUAUCAAAGUUUUAUUAUCACCAUCAUUAUUAUUACAGUGGUUUGUGACACAUGCUGAACUUUAAGACUGGUGUAAAAGCUUAAGUAUUUGAGCAACACUUUCUGAAAUUCAAAUCCUUCAAAUCCUUUCCAAUCUAACUCCAAAAAGCAGGAGUACGUUUCAAGCUAAUUAGACAUAUUACUUGGUUUCACUUCCAACUUUCAGAGUAAUUAUCUCAAAAUUCUUGUUCUCUUGUAAACGCAAAUGUUCACUAUUUUUAAUUGCCUUGAUUUAUUGCAGAACUUAAAUUCAGUACAUGCUGAAAGUUCAGCAGGGUGGAAAGAAAAUUUGAGUUUGUUUAAGGGAGCACAUGGAUAGGAUUGUGUACUGUGGCCUCUGUUUAGAAAAGCUCAUCGUUAACCUAUGCUAACAGGAACUGCUUGCUGGAGGCAUCCUCUAAAACUAACCAUACCGAGAAGUACAGAAUUAAUUGAUACAGAUUUCUUCAACUUGCAACAUGAACAGAUUUACUUGGAUGUUGUAAGAGUGACAUUUCGUUUUCAUCUCUGUAGCUGUUACCUCUGCUGCUUUGUGUAUUUGAAUAUUUCAGUUCUCACAGGGUUCUCUUCUGACGCAUCAGUAGACGGCUGAAGGUUUUUCUCGGUCAUCCUGAGACUGGCUCAGACUACGUUAUGUUGGCUGUCUGUCUGUGCUUUGUACUUGUCUUUCGUACGGCCUCCAUGGCUCACCAGCAUGAGGUAUAGAUCAACUACUGCUGCCUAUGCCACUGCCUUUUGUGAUUCCUUUUUGUGGUUAUAUUUAGCCCUGAAUGCUAUGGUAUUGGCUUUUGAAUUCUCUGUUCUGGCCAAGUUUUUUGUUUAAGUUGUUGUCCUUUUAGUUUUACUGUAACUGGUCUGUCAGCAGGGGUCCUCUCAGCACAGUAAUGACUCAUGAACAUAUUUCCAUUUCCAGGAGGGCGUAUUGUGGUUGGCCAGCACUGCUAGGCAGACAUCUUAUCCUUCUUGUUCUGCCUUUACCAUCAACAUCCACAUUAUAAUUUCUCAGGCCAGGCAUCACUUUGUGCUUUUAUUUCUUCCCAAAUCUUUGAAAUCAGCUAUCAGGUACUGUGGACCACUUUUUCAGUAUGGCCUGUUGGAUAUGCAGCCAAAGUGUUUUUGUUUUCCUAAUCUCAUUUUUCUAUAUGUCCUGAAAUUGGGCUAGUAAAUUCUUGUAAUGACAGCAUUUUGGGAAGUGAAAGCAAAGAAUUGGACUUAAUUCUUUUUCAAAAGUAUUCAUUUUCUGUGGUUGUAGCAUUCUCCUGCUGUCAGGUAUCAAGGCAUUUGCCCAGCUUCUACUAGAUAUUUAAAACGGGGCCAGGGUUUUUUUCACCAACUAAGACUGGAUUUAUUCUGAUUUAAAUAACAAAAUUUUGCAUCCAGAUAAGUGUGCAUUAAUUACAGUAAUGGCAUGAAUCAUGGAUUAGGUGAGGUUGGCUGAGGAGGCAUUUCUGGAGGCCAUUUGGGUCAACCUCCACUCAAGCAGGGACACCCAGAGCUGGCGGCCCAGAAGCAUAUCCAGAUGGCAAAGAGACACUCAGUCUAUAGUUCUUGUAACUAACCUACAGAUUCUCCCCACAGUCCAAGGAAAUUACACUUAAGCAGCUUGUAGGAUUUUUAUUGAAAGUCAAAGAUAAUUUGAAUUCAAAAGUAGCUAGUGAGAAGCAUGACAGCAAAUAUUUGGAAAGGUCAGUAGACUGCUGGGAUGAUACAAUCUCAGGCAGUGGAACAGGAGUAAGAGAAAAGAGAUUGAUAACACUAAUGCUGUAUGAUAGUGACAGAGCAAAUUGUCCCUUUUUACAGAUCUUUUAGACAACUUUAUUUUCUACCAUUGUAUGUGGGAACAUGUUUAGUUUUUUUAGUUGUUUAGUUUUCCACUGAGACCAGAGCCUGAUGAUUUCUCUUUUUCCCUUAAAGUACAUCCAGAAUAUUUAACACACUGGCCUUCCAGCUUAUCACAUGCUUUCUGUUUCUCAGUGACUUUUUUUGAGUUCAAAUCAUUGAGUGCUAAUGCAAAAACCUAAGAGAAUCAGUUCCCCUGUGCUAUGCUUGUGGAAAAAACCUUUGCAAAUAAAAGUCUGAUAUUAAAGUGGGGUGGAGGGAAAAAGAAGGUAACUGUAUUACCUGACUGAUCAGAGCUGCUUUAGUCUGUAUUCAGUAAAUUCACUUAUGAAUGAUAUUUUUCCCUAAAGCAGUGUUUCCCAGAUAUUGAUUGCUGCGGUUGGUAAUGGAUCUAGAGGCCAGCCAGCUUCCAGUGACGCAGUUUCUAGGAACAUGGACAGUGCCAGUCUGAGCUCCAAAAAUCAAUCACACAGAGAUGGUUUAUGGUUUGUAACUGUCAGAAAUAGUGGCAGCAGUGUGGCAUUACAGGAUGUUGCCCUGUGUCUGUAGACAAAGUGUGUUUUCUGGAAGAGCAGGAUCUUUCCCUCUGCAGAUUUUGGGUACCUCACCUGUUACCAGAGAGAGCAGAGCUGCUUAAGAGCUCAUGGGAGGAAGGACUAGUGAUUGCCAUGCAUGUCUCUUUUCCCUCUGUCAUAAUUGCCUGGGCAGUUAUUUCUCUUCCUACCUGGCAAAACUGGCUGUGUAACACUCAGUGGUGCCAGUGCUCAUCUCCUUCUGUUCCUCAGGGAAACUUACUGUGUCUCAGCCUAGUUUUUUCCCCUUUUUUUUGUCUGAAAAGCCUGGUUCCUUAGUGGGGGUCACAAGCACCACAAAUCUCAAAACGGGAAGGAAAAAAAUAUGUUACUAUUCCAGAUGCUGUUGCUCUCAUAGUAUCAUUGAAUGUUGCUUAUCACACUGCAAUUUAAGUGGAAUGGAAUCUCUUGAGGGACUUAAAAUAACUUUAUCACCAAAUGAAGGCAAGUUUAGUGAGCCUGUCUGUGCUGUUUUCAGUUAGAAUCUCUGGUAGCACUGAGCAGUCUGUCCAGGAAGCUGUUUCCGUAUCAUCUACAGUUUGUCUUAAACUCUACACCCAUUUGAUAGCAGGUAAUGAACAGGUUUUGCUGACAUUCUUCAUAUACAUUCUCUCAUCUUUCCCCAGUAAUUAGCAUGACACAUAGAAGCACAGAGAGGUAGAGUGGCUCAUGCAGACUAAUUUACUCAGUGUUUGGAUUUCAAUGAAUAGCUUAUAAAAAGAUAUGUAUGCUCUCUUCUAUCCCCUUACCUGAGAUAUUCAGUCCACCUCCCUCAGCUUUCUACCAUGACAGCUUGCUUCUAUGGUUGUGAGAGCAUAAGCUGCCUGUCCUGUCUCAGAUGUGCAUCUGACCUUGAUUUCAGAGGCAAAAAGAGAAUGAAAGGAGAUUUGCAGCCAAAAUCAGUUAAUAAUGAGGUGAAAUUAUGUAGGACAAAUCGACUUUAAAAGGAUAAAUGAAGUCAUGUGGAGUUGUGUAAUAUUGCAGUCAGUCUACCACCCACAUCCAAGCUAGUUCUUUAAAAUUGCCUAUUUCUGGGACCAUGGACUUCUGAAUAGUUGUGGCCCUCUGAUCUAUAUGCCCAAAUCUUGAGAUCAAGACCACAGGCAUCUACUUAUUGAGGAGCAAUAAGAAGGGUGAUCUGGAAAUCGUAUGAUUUCCAUGCAUAUGAUGCUACCUCCUGAGAGAUCCUGUCACUGUACCCUAGGGCUAAGUCUGGUGUGCAGCUGAGUCCUGCAUCAGGCUGGCAGUGUUCAUCUUGGCAAUUCCUUUUGCUGUAUUUCCCUUGUAGCUGGGAUCUGGAUUGCCAGCACUGUGCUGCUCUUGGUCAUGGCAUUUGGUUUGGCAGCAGAUGUUAUCCCUCUUAGAAAAAAGAUGCCCCAGUAAAAGGUUGGAUGGAACCUUGAGCAAGCCUGAUCUGGUACAUGGCAAUCCUGGGGAGAGUAAGCUCAAUGAUUUUUAAUGUCCCUUUCAACCUAAGCCACUCGUUGCUUCUAAAUGGAGAAAAGAAUGAGGAGGGAAUUAUUUUCUGCAGGAGUCGUGUCUUACUCAGGCACAUUAGCUUAUCACCCAACCAUAUCCAACAAGUAAUACCACUGUGCGGGGCUCCUGAAUUCCAGCCCUCAGGCAGCAGCCUGCUUUGUGAUCUCUCAUUCAUCUCCAAAGACAAGUGUAGUGGGCUGGAACCAGGACAGACAGUUCAGAUUAAUCAGACUGUGAGCCUAGAGUUUACAUGGUCAGGGGUAAGUGUGUUCUUGAAAUAGGAUUGGCCCAGAUCAAGGAGAAGUAAAGCACAGUUUGUAUGUUUUGAUGUAAGAUUAAAGUCAGAGAAAUGUGAACAAAAACAGACCAAGAUUUUUAAGAUGUUUAUAUUUUUAUUUUUUAUAGAAAUCCUGACAGAGUGUUUUUUUUUCUGAGUGCUCUAAAAUGCAUUGGAACCUGACCUACUUUCUUCUCAGGUUUACCUACCUACAUUUUCCGUAGCUCUGGAGGACACGUCAGCUGCAGACAAGAAGAAAAAAUGCACUAGCUUCAUAAAAUUACAAUACGAUCUCUUAGUUUGGCUGGUGAUUGCAUUCUAAAAGGUAUCACAGCCAGGACACAGAGUCAACUGCAAGAGAUAAGAGGGCUGCUCCCAAAGUAAUGCCUUCUAUUUUAUUAUUUUGGCUCACAAUGUCAGAAUCAGAUGUUGAUGAUAUGGCAGUAGAGAUUGAAUCUUCCCACCAAUGUUUCAUUGCAUUUUGUUGCUGUGUGACAAAUGGCAGCAGAGAGGCAGUCUGACAGAAUGAUGUUUGACAUGGAAGUGCAUAUGAAGCAAAGGUGUGACAUUGAAUUCCUCUAUGUGGAAAAAAAUGACAUCCACUGACAUUCAUGGAUACUUGCUGAACGUUUCUGGAUAUCAAACGGUGAAUGUUGGCACAGUGAUGCUGUGGGUGGUGCAUUUCAGUAGUGGCAACAGUGGGUCAACUCCAGUAGUACAGAUUUUUACAAGUGCAGAAUGCAGGCUUUUGUUCAUCACUGGUAAAAAUGCAUAGUUACUGGUGGUGACUGCGUGGAAAAGUUUUCUGUAGCUGAGAAUUUGCUCUGUCAACUAGUAUUAUCGUGCUUUUUGUAUCUGCUGUAGUUUCCAUGGAAAUAAAUAGGAGGCGUUACUUUUGGAGUGAUCUACAUAAUGUUCUCAGGCUUGUUCACAUAAACAAAUCCAUUCCUUUCUAAACCAUGAAAGUGUCUGUGUGUGGAUGUGCACAGGUUUAAUAGUACAGAAUUAUCUAUAAAGUAUGUGAGAUAGUGUUUUGAGAGAGGAAAUAAGAAGGAAGGAAACAAUGAGGAGCUCUGGAAGGCAGAAAAUGCUAUUUUCGAGUUGGAGUCAGUAUGCCAUAAGUAUCUAAUUUCACAGAUACUUAAUGUCACGUAUAUCAUGCUCUCAUAGAUAUUUAAUACACUUUAUUUUUGUACAUGCUAGUAACAUGCCACAGUAUACUUCUAAAAACCACAAAAAGACAACAUUAAUGGGAUUCUAACUUACUUGAUUUUCUGGGACUUCACUGCAAGAAUAGCUCAAAAAGCUAAAAGAUGACCUGGUGUUUGAGAGAGAGAAAGGGAUUGUAUAUUGAUACUAAUUUCCACUGAGAUCAUUUGGCUGCAGCAUCCAAAGAGAACAUUCUCAUUAACUAUUGCUCAGUUAAAAUUUAAUAACUUGGAAAAAAAAAAAAAAAAAAAAAGGCAAAGGUGACUGAAAUACAGUGUCUGGAUGCAGCUAGAUUUUUGGCCAUCUUGGGUUCCCAGUCCUCUGUAUUCUAUGCACAAUACUUUGGCCAGAACAAAAUACUAUAGAUGUGAGAAAAAAAUGUACUGCAUCAUCGUGAUCUAAAGCACAUGUCUCAGCCACUCCAUCUUUCCUCAAAAUUUAGCCAGUGGCAACACAUUAUAACACUUAUGAGUCCAUUCAGCACAGGGCUGUGUUACACGUGUAUGCUGGCCUAUUCAUUAAAAUUCAGAAGUUGUAAAGCAUUAAACUUGCCUACUACAAGGAUUUUUUUGUAUGGAUAGUCCAGACAGGCUCAUAAAAGUCCCCGGUGCUUUACAUUCUAGAUUGAACUCUACGACAAUAAAGCUCCUUGAAAUUACAUGUAUAUGGAACUAAACUAAAUACCACAAUGUAAAGAAAACUGUCAAAGCACCACACUGUGUUCUUAAAUGGCCAACUUAAUCACUCUCAGUAAGGUUAGUAUCUGUGCAGUAGCUGAAUUAAGCUGUUCUUAUAUUUCACAGCUAGAGUUCCAGUAAAAUUGGAGCAUGAUAUUCAAAUACCUUCCUCUCCAUUGAAGAUUUUACUCAUAGUCUCAAAAUAAAUGUUUUCUGGAAAUAAUUUUUGUGAAGAAAGCUAAUAUGAAUAAGUGUAGGGUGUACAAUAGACUGCCUUUUAGCUAAUCCAUCUAUUUUAUCAUUCUUACCUGAGAAGAAGCAUUUUUUCUUCACCUUUCAUGAAAGUUUCAGUGUUAGAUUUGCACAUUCUAUAAAAUACUUACAUGUGUAACACAGCAAGUAUGUGCAAUCCUGCUGAUGCAACAAAUGCUGUGAAAGAACUUUCAGACCUUGUGGCAAAGCAUCAUCUGUGACAGCCACAGAGUCAGUCUGCAGGUAGGUGCAUGUCAGGUAAACCAUGGCUUUUCAGAUUUCACAUUUUUAGAAAUGAUUCAGAGUACUUACUGGAACAAAGUAGCUAAUGAUCUUGUCUAAAUAAUUAUGACAAGAAUAGAUGAUAUGAUUUUCCUAGCUGAAAUGACAGUAGUAAAAAGUAGGUAAAUCACUGAGUCUUGAAUUAUGGUUUGGGGACUGCUUUCUUUUUCUUUUUCUUUUUCUUUUUCUUUCUUUUUCUUUUUCUUUUUCUUUUUCUUUUUCUUUUUCUUUUUCUUUUUCUUUUUCUUUUUCUUUUUCUUUUUCUUUUUCUUUUUCUUUUUCUUUUUCUUUUUCUUUUUCUUUUUCUUUUUCUUUUUCUUUUUCUUUUUCUUUUUCUUUUUCUUUUUCUUUUUCUUUUUCUUUUUUUCUUUUUCUUUUUCUUUUUCUUUUUCUUUUUCUUUUUCUUUUUCUUUUUCUUUUUCUUUUUCUUUUUCUUUUUCUUUUUCUUUUUCUUUUUCUUUUUCUUUUUCUUUUUCUUUUUCUUUUUCUUUUUCUUUUUCUUUUUCUUUUUCUUUUUCUUUUUCUUUUUCUUUUCUUUUUCUUUUUCUUUUUCUUUUUCUUUUUCUUUUUCUUUUUCUUUUUCUUUUUCUUUUUCUUUUUCUUUUUCUUUUUCUUUUUCUUUUUCUUUUUCUUUUUCUUUUCCUUUUUCUUUUCCUUUUUCUUUUCCUUUUCCUUUUCCUUUUCCUUUUCCUUUUCCUUUUCCUUUUCCUUUUCCUUUUCCUUUUCCUUUUCCUUUUCCUUUUCCUUUUCCUUUUCCUUUUCCUUUUCCUUUUCCUUUUCCUUUUCCUUUUCCUUUUCCUUUUCCUUUUCCUUUUCCUUUUCCUUUUCCUUUUCCUUUUCCUUUUCCUUUCUUUCUCUUCCUCUUCUUCUUCCCCUUCCCCUUUCCCUUUUCUUUUUCUUUUUUUAAUUGUUUCACUUAAAUCCUCAGUCAAUAUCUUAUAGAUGUAUUUGUAAAUGCUUAUACACACACGCGUAUACUUUAGCUUCUAUGUGCACACUAUAAAUUAUACCUUUUAAAGAUGAAUUCCUUUACCAACUUGAGAUUCUGUAGCAAUCCCUGUAAACUAGAAAAUGCAGCAACAAUGAGUAAUCACUGGAUUUCCACGUGCUUUCCAUUUUAACAUUUAAAUGGAAUUUACAUUUAAAAGUUCCUUACAUUUUCACUUCAGCAUUUCCUAUGUCCCAUUCAGCAUCAUCCUUGUUGGAAUUAUGGUGACCUCUGGCAGACAAGCAAGUAGGAAGUUGGGAGUCAUGAAUUCUGACACUGUUCCAAUGCCAAAUGUGGCACAAUGGGUCGAAGUUACUUUGAGGGUGUCCAUAGCUGCACUGAGGAAACCACAACUCUGCAGGUAUCUGCUUGCAAAAAUAGUAUUAUUUCACGAGGCAUAUUCUCUGCUAUUUGUGAAUGAAUGGGACAAGUAUACUGACAACACAGUUUGACAGAAUGGAUAAACAAAUCUGUAUCCUUCUUUGACCAGGACAUCACAUCCUAAAAAUAUGUAUGACAGAUCUGCAGUUUACACUAUAUUUCUUUCGUCAGUUGGACUUUAUAGCCAAUAGGAAAGAAGCAUAGUGUUGUUCCCUGCCUGGAUUUAUGGCCUUGCCUUCAUUAUUUCUAUAAUUCUUUAUUGCUGCAAGUCCUGGGAAAGCUUAUAUUUCAGCAAGAUGUAACUGAGUCCUCUAAGAGUGAUGACCAAUCAGAUGAAAGCCUGUCCCGAUGUAUCCUGAGGCAUUUGUUCAGGUCUUGCCCUGGACUGAUGCAGGCAGCCACUUCCUAUGGCCCUGCUAUGGUUGGACAACACGUAUGGAAAUGGAAGGUGCUUUCCUAAUCUGACACUACUCUGAAAAAGAAUUACAAGAACUACUAUUUCAAUCAAAAAAAUGUUUGACCUUGCUUAUAUGGACUUGGAUCAAAAUGACAGUGUAAGGAACAAUAUAUUCAGUUGCUCAGCAAAGCCCAUAGAAUUCUGCAUACUGCUUGGAAAUGCAACCCCAGUAAAAUCAAGGAAUUAGGAGCUGUGUCGGAAAACAUAUCUGGACUCCAUUUCACAUAUUCUCUGAGAACCCUUCGUUUGGAUGUGAGGAAAUGGAUGUGUUUGAGAGAAAGGGCCACCAAGAGAGGAACAUCAGGGCACCAUGUCUGGGGCUUGAGGAUCUGAGCUCAAUUUUCACUUCUGAUAGAGCUUUCUUGACUCAGUGUGAACAGUUUACUUUUUCUUGUACUGCUUCUGCACUUGGAAAAUUGGACUACUCCUGAACAGAACUGUUGGAAGGCUACAUUAUUCUUGGUGGGGUGCUCAUACAUGGCACUCUGUGACUGCAAAAUACAGGUUUGCCAAGAUCUGAAUGACAAAAAGGAGCUUCAUUUUUUUGGUCUAUUACUUUCCCUUGCAUGGCAGAAUGAAUAUUGGUUACAUGAAGAUUUGAACAAUAUUAUGUGAAAGCAAAAAUAAGAAGGAAAAAAAGAAAUAUUCUGUCAAGAGAACUUUUCUGAGAUCUGAUCCCUCUUGCAAAUAAAAUGAAUUGUGGCAUGUAGUAAUACAUUAAUUUCCUUGUAAAAUAGCUGAGCCAGUUUUUAAUUGUCUGCUUACAAAGAUUUGCACUGAACUAGAACUGAUCUUACUAUUAUUUUCCUUUCAAGAAAAUAUGCUGUACAUAUUUUCUUGACUGAGUGCCUACUACGUUUUGUAUUUUUUGUCAUAUGCUAGCAUCUGAUAUGUUUAGUUAAAUACUUUGUAGGUGUUACUGUUCCCUAGAAUGAAAGAUCUAGACUUUAGAGCAAAACAUAUUCCUUCUUCUGAUAUAAACCCUGUACUUUUUAAAAAGCAUGCAGUUAAAAAAAAAAAAAAAAACACCAAGAACAAACAUAUGUACCUUGAGUGCCAUUUCUGGGAGUGAAUUGUCACGUACUAUUGCUACAGUGUAGGAAAACAGCCACCAUUUUUGUGCUAAAUUUCAAGUGUAGCAAUAGAGUGACUAUUAAACCGACAGACAGACAAUGUAAAUCUAGAAGCAAGUAAUAUGUAUAUUUCAACCAUCUGGGCUUUUGCUCUUUUCAAUAUUUGUUUGCUAGUUCAUUCUCCUAUCUAUAAUCUAGAGGUUUAUGGCAAAGUAAACCUAUAAAUCCUAACAACCAUAUUUUCAUUUGGAAGCUGGACCAGCUGUCAAUAAACAUCGAAAGAACUGCUCAGUCUUCAGAGGACGUGUGUUAAAAGAGAGGGUUCAUGCAUAACAAAAUUGCUGGAGUAAAAAUUCUUUAUUGAGCUUAUUUGUGGCUGUUAUUGCUCAUGAACCUUGCAGGUCUCCCCAGAUAUUGGGUGGCUGAAAACUUAAAAUGCCAUCUCUCUGAAGAUUUUUCUGCGUGUGUCUUACUUUAGACCUGCAUUUCAGCGUGGUCUUCAUCUUUUAUAUUGAUCGAAAGUCUUUUUAGGUCUAGGUCUACGACCCCUCCAAUGGCAAAGAGUCAUUUCAAACUUGACAAAAGUUGGUUGAUGUCAGUGAAUAUGCAAAUACUCAACUACAAUCUUUCUACUGAAUUCUGUGUAUUCUGCCUCACUUCCUUGGGGUGAAACACUGCCCCUGUGAGUAACAUAAAUGUAUAUUUCCCCACAAUUUUUAAUUCAAUUACUGAGACUAGUCAUGAGAUCAACAUAGUAAUCAGUACGAGUGUGAAGAAUCUGCAAUGAAUGUAGUCAUUACCAUCACAUAGUCCACAAUUUAAAUUUAUCCUUUCACUGUGUGGUAUUUUAUGAUCAGGAAGUAAGAGAGUAACAGUUUUAUUUUGGGAGUAUACUGCUUACUUUUGUUUGAACAGUCUACAUUUUUACAAUAUUUAUGCACCAAUUGAAUGUGUGAUAUGUAGCUGAAAAUGAAAAGGCAUAUCUAAAUCUUAAGCAGUUUUUGUGCAGAAGGAAGUCCUAUGAUUUUGCAAAAAAUGUAUACAGUUUAAGGCAGUAGAAUUACAAAUGUAAUAUAGAAAGGCUAUGCUAUGCUACGCUAUGCUACGCUACGUUACGUUACGCUACGUUACGUUAUGUUAUGUUACGUUACGUUACAUUAUGUUAUGUUUGUGGUCUGAUUUUCAAAAAUUUUCAGUCCUUUGGAUACGAUAAGUUAAUUAUGACAUUUAAGUAUCUUGGCAAGUAAUAGUUUUGGAUUUGACAGGCCAUGGAUUUUAUGUUCCAUUUAUGUGCAGGAUUUCUAGGUGCCAGGCACUACGCUUACAUGAAAGCUGAUUCUCUUUGGUGCUAGCAAUACAAGUACUCAUCUACAUCUAAACUUCUUUUUCAAAAUGCAUAUUGGCUGAUGUUUAUAGACAGCCUAAUAGAAGACGAAAAUAUUUAACAUGGAAUGUCACCCAUAGUAUUAGUGUUAUCUCAAGUGAGGUUUGCCUUGCAUUUUCACAGAUGAUUUCAGAAUGUUUUCCUGGACAGACCAUAUUAUCCUGCUACUCAGGUGCUCCAAGUCAUUGUCAUUAAGCUGACUCCUGCGAUUCUUUUAUCCUGUACACCGACUUUGUGGUCAAGGUAACUGCACUAUAUAGCAGCAUUCCCAAGCUCGCUUGUGUGUAGGUGUUUUACACAAGAGUACUAUGUCAUGCACACCAAUGUAAGUAGUACAAGUUUUCAGGAGCAGCUGGACAACUGCACUCUGCCCAAGUUCACUAGCAUACAGACUGCGCUGGCACUUCCUGGAUGCCAUGUAGACCUGCCUGUCAGAGCCUACCAUCUGAGGAGAAUGAGAACAGCAUCCAAUAAUAAUAUUCUGUGAUAUUCAACAGCAGUUCCAUCUUCAGUUAUAAACAAUUUGCAGCAAAACAGAAAAGUACCUACUGUUCCCAAUUUUUUUUUUCCCCUGCAAACUCAUGCUUCUUUAAUCUUCUUAGGAUUUUUCUCAGUUUGUUUUUCAGGAGUUUAUUUGAUUUAUGGUUUUAUUAAUUUUCCAAGAACUUUUGCUAGUAGCAUGAUUUGCCUGUGUUUUUCCAACAGGAAAUGAGAUCAAGACUGGUGUGUGAUGCCAAUUUUCAAAAUUUUAUUAACAGCAGAGAAAUGUUUCUUGGAGAAAAGUUGGGUUUUGUCACCUGUGUUCUCAGUCCUGAAGAUAGUUUUCUCUGAGUACUUGAGCAAAUAACUUCACAACACUCCACCUCAGUUUCCUACUUUUUAAAAAUGGGGAUAAUAAUACUUGACCCAGCCUAGAAAAACAGUUGAAAGUACAAAUGGGAGUGAUAGCUGUUAUAUCUGAGCCAAAUCUUGAAACCUUGUUGAGGUUUUCAUAAAGUAGCUUUUGAUGUCCUAUUCAUCAUUCUCCAGAGUUUAGGAAAAAAAGCAAAAAAAAAAAACAACAAACAUCUAACUGAUUUUGACAGAAUCCUUCACUUCAGUUUUCACUUGGAUAGCAUCUAAGUUGUCAGCCAGAGUUUGCUUAUGUGCAUGCUGAGCAAAAACUAUUAUGCCUUUAUUACUGAAGUCUCUGGAGGAGUAAGUCACUUUUUACUACAGUCUGAGAGAAUGUCCCCUCUGUCAUCCACUGGAUUCAACGUGUUGGAUUGGUUGUUCAAGAAGAAAAAAGGCAACCAAAACCCAAACUGAAAUACCACAUUACUCAAUGGAAAUUUACUUCCAAAUGUUUUCAGUGUUUUUAGGGUUACCCUUGUUACAGAACAGCAGUUGCUUCUUCCAGUUGGCUCUAACACAGUACAAAAUGUCUCCUUACACAAGUCUAAUGCUAGCAAAAAUCACAUUUCUUUACUAAAACAUUCUAACUCUACUGUGAUUCAUUUUUUUACUCAUAGCAUACAAUUACCUCUCUUAGAAUGAAUAUCAGUCUCUUGAUAGAGGUAAAAUACCAGAAUCAUGUCCUGUCUCCUGGAAUUUUUGUCUGAUAGCUGUUCAAAAGUCUGGCCCUAAGCCAUCCAAGUAUUGAAUUUAGAGCAGAUGUUGAGGGUGUUCUAACUCUCAAUCUGCUAGAAGUAAUAUUUAAGAAAAUUGGAACAAGCUAAUCAAUUUUAAAAAGAGUAUUCAACUCAUACUUUUUCUUCCUAAUUCCACUAGCAAAAGGAAAAAUAUCAAUUCAAGUUCCAGUCUUUCCUUCAACCACUUCAGUGUGAUCAGAGAGCUUUUCUUGUCUCUGAAGAAUUGACUCACAAUGAUUCUUUUUAGAACAGGUUAUUUUGAUUGCGCUUUCUGCAUAUAAAACUUCCUUCUCUAACACGUGUAUAUUUGCAUUCCCAGUUUAUUAUAGUCCCGUUGCUGUUCUUAGUGGACCUGUGAUGUUUACAGAGUGAAAAGAAGAGGGAACUUGUUUUUAGUACCAUAUUCUUUGUGUCAUAUGACACAGUAACAGGGAAGACUGAUUUGGCUGUGAAAACUGUGCAUAGAAGGCCUGAGAUAAUGUGCUGAUACUGUAUCCACAGGGAGGAUGCAGUGAGAAAAUCCUUGAAGCUCCCUAUAAACAAGGUCACUGUUUUAAUGACAGUGUGUGGAAAUUCACAUUUAGUCUCCAGAAUAGAACUCUUUUUUCUGUAAGUUAUGGAAAAAAUCCAUGCAGGUAGUAAUAUUUUUUUAUAUGCCAAUAGAUCCCAAAACACCUUAUAAAAGCAUCCAUCUAUAGGAAAACAAACAAGCCUCUGUAGGGUCAAGACAUGAUCCCCACAGAUAACCAGUGCAGAGAAAACACAGAUUAAAAAAAACACAGAUUCUUAGUAAAACAACCUGCAUUACCAGUGUGACACAGACAUGAUCAUGUUGUUAAGGUUUCUUCAGUAGUUCUCUUAAAACAACCAAAGUUAAAGAGGUAACAUCAGGUUUGUCAGUCUGGAUUGUACACGUUCAAGUAGACAGUGGAGUUGAACAGUGUAACAGAGAAAUUAAUUGAGCCUUUUUUCUAAGUAACUGAUUUUUAGGGUGCUACACCAUUGUAAAAUUGAAUAGCAUAUGUGAAUUAUGAAUUAUGGAAUUAAAAAUUGUGGAUCAAAGUAGCUAGUACUUUAAGGGCUACCUUAACCGUUAAGUUGGAAAGAAUCUUCUUGAAUACAGUUAAGUCUGACUAAUGUUUCAUAGGAAGCAGAGACUGUGCAAUAGGUUUUUUUAUAUGGAACAAAACCUAUUAAGCACCUCAUGAUGUGAAGGCAAUUCCAAAUUAUAUGAACAGAAUUUUCUUGAUUUACAGGCAAUGCAUUCUUUAAUGUUACAACGAGUGGCCACCAGGAUGGUUUGGAGCCAAAACAACAUUCAAGUAGUCCCACCCUUGUAAUUUUCUAGCCUGGUUUUGGAUUCAGACACUUAGAAUUCCAUGUCUAGUGAAAAAAAGAAAAAAGAAAAUAACUGUUUCUUCUUUGUAGUUCAACGGUGUUGUCUUUCUGAAAAACAAGUUCAUGUAAUUCAGCGAUACUUUGAAGGGAAAUGGCCAACAUAAACUUUAUCAUUUUUUUAAUCUGAAUCAUAUCUCUUUUUAAGAAUCCACUAAAAAACAGUUCUUGCAAAUUCAUUUUGGUCUCCAUGAUGCAUGCGAGGUAGGACAGGGUUGACCAGCUGCAGUUAGCCUACUGCUAAGCUCAGCCAAUUGGUUGCUCCAUACUCCAAGCAGAUGUUUCUCCUUUAUACUGAUGGAACUCUUGUAGACCAUAUCCUUUUGCAAGAGAAACACCAGUGCAGUUGGAAGCUGGGAGGACUCAUCUCAACAACAGAAGCAAGGUGCCAGAAGCAUCAGCAACAGUUUAUUAAUAAAAAUUCAUGAAAAGAAGAGCACUUGCAUUUUGUUUGCAACAAAUCAAAACAAAACAUUUUUUCUUAGCUUUUUUCUUCUGUGCAAGGUGCUAUUAGAAGUAGCAUUGCUUUUUCCUGUAGCAAUUUACAUCUGUGUGAGAGGAAAGGUAGGGAAUCUCUUGCCGUUAUCUGUAUGGUUUCUGUAUGCUGAUCACAAAAUGGGAGAGUGAUCUGCAUUUAUGUAAAUUUUUGCUAUUAAGAUUCAUGUAUCAUAUCUGAUAAUUGAUAUGCUUUAGCUAUAUUCUAGUCUAAAAUAACUAAAUUAUAUUAUACUUCAAGAGUAUAGAUUAAAUGUGAUUUGAGUCUUAU
ensembl:lncRNA